rnacentral:rRNA from 1 species
GCCGAACGCUGGCGGCGUGCCUAAUACAUGCAAGUAGAACGCUGAAGGAGGAGCUUGCUUCUCUGGAUGAGUUGCGAACGGGUGAGUAACGCGUAGGUAACCUGCCUGGUAGCGGGGGAUAACUAUUGGAAACGAUAGCUAAUACCGCAUAAUAGCAGUUGUUGCAUGAUAACUGUUUGAAAGGUGCAAUUGCACCACUACCAGAUGGACCUGCGUUGUAUUAGCUAGUUGGUGGGGUAACGGCUCACCAAGGCGACGAUACAUAGCCGACCUGAGAGGGUGAUCGGCCACACUGGGACUGAGACACGGCCCAGACUCCUACGGGAGGCAGCAGUAGGGAAGCUUCGGCAAUGGACGGAAGUCUGACCGAGCAGCGCCGCGUGAGUGAAGAAGGUUUUCGGAUCGUAAAGCUCUGUUGUAAGAGAAGAACGAGUGUGAGAGUGGAAAGUUCACACUGUGACGGUAUCUUACCAGAAAGGGACGGCUAACUACGUG